ensembl:lncRNA novel transcript
AGGAUUCUUAUACACCAAUAACAGACAAACAGAGAGCCAAAUCAUGACUGAACUCCCAUUCACAAUUGCUUCAAAGAGAAUAAACUACCUAGGAAUCCAACUUACAAGGGAUGUGAAGGACCUCUUCAAGGAGAACUACAAACCACUGCUCAAUGAAAUAAAAGAGGAUACAAAGAAGUGGGAGAACAUUCCAUGCUCAUGGGCAGGAAGAAUCAAUAUCGUGAAAAGGGCCAUACUGCCCAAGGUAAUUUAUACUUUCAAUGCCAUCCCCAUUAAGCUACCAAUGACUUUCUUCACAGAAUUGGAAAAAACUACUUUAAAGUUCAUAUGGAACCAAAAAAGAGCCCACAUCUCUGAGUCAAUCCUAAGCCAAAAGAACAAAGCUGGAGGCACCACGCUACCUGACUUCAAACUAUAUUACAAGGCUACAGUAACCAAAACAGCAUGGUACUGGUACCAAAACAGAGAUAUAGAUCAAUGGAACAGAACAGAGCCCUCAGAAAUAACGACACAUAUCUACAACUAUCUGAUCUUUGACAAACCUGAGAAAAACAAGCAAUGGGGAAAGGAUUCCCUAUUUAAUAAAUGGUGCUGGGAAAACUGGCUAGCCAUACGUAGAAAGCUGAAACUGGAUCCCUUCCUUACACCUUAUACAAAAAUCAAUUCAAGAUGGAUUAAAGACUUAAACGUUAGACCUAAAACCAUAAAAACCCUAGAAGAAAACCUAGGCAUUACCAUUCAGGACACAGGCAUAGGCAAGGACUUCAUGUCUAAAACACCAAAAGCAAUGGCAACAAAAGCCAAAAUGGACAAACGGGAUCUAAUUAAACUAAAGAUCUUCUGCACAGCAAAAGAAACUACCAUCAGAGUAAACAUGCAACCUACAAAAUGGGAGAAAAUUUUCACAACCUACUCAUCUGACAAAGGGCUAAUAUCCAGAAUCUACAAUGAACUCAAACAAAUUUACAAGAAAAAAACAAACAACCCCAUCAAAAAGUGGGCAAAGGAUAUGAACAGAAACUUCUCAAAAGAAGACAUUUAUGCAGCCAAAAGACACAUGAAAAAAUGCUCACCAUCACUGGCCAUCAGAGAAAUGCAAAUCAAAACCACAGUGAGAUACCAUCUCACACCGGUUAGAAUGGCAAUCAUUAAAAAGUCAGGAAAUAACAGGUGCUAGAGAGGAUGUGGAGAAAUAGGAACACUUUUACACUGUUGGUGGGACUGUAAACUAGUUCAACCAUUGUAGAUGUCAGUGUGGCGAUUCCUCAGGGAUCUAGAACUAGAAAUACCAUUUGACCCAGCCAUCCCAUUACUGGGUAUAUACCCAAAGGACUAUAAAUCAUGCUGCUAUAAAGACACAUGCACACGAAUGUUUAUUGUGGCACUAUUCACAAUAGCAAAGACUUGGAACCAACCCAAAUGUCCAACAAUGAUAGACUGGAUUAAGAAAAUGUGGCACAUAUACACCAUGGAAUACUAUGCAGCCAUAAAAAAUGAUGAGUUCAUGUCCUUCGUAGGGACAUGGAUGAAAUUGGAAAUCAUCAUACUCAGUAAACUAUCACAAGGACAAAAAACCAAACACCAGAUGUUCUCACUCAUAGGUAGGAAUUGAACAAUGAGAACACAUGGACACAGCUCUACUGGGAGAAUGUUCAUUACAUCAUCAUAUAUCUGUCUGAAUUGGAAAAAACAUCUCUAAAUCCUACAUUUAAUUUUUUGGUCAAGUUGUGAAGAAUCACUACCCAAUGCAUAGAAUUACUUUAACGAAACUGAAUUUUCUGUGAGGUUUUAAUAAUUAACAGUAACACUUCACUUCAUCUUUUAUGCUACUAAAGAUGGGGUUCCCAUGUUAAGAAGAGGGUAUCUGAAGUACAGACUAAGUUGUGAUUUGGCUGCAAAUAAUAAGGAAAAGUCUCCAGUGAGUUAUUAAGGUUUCUUCCCUUGAAAAAGGUAGUAAUUUACAGAAACUGAUACAUUAUUACUAAAACACAAUAAAAAUGGUGCACACAGUUAAAAUAUUUGAAGUCAUAUAUCAACUUAAAAUAGCUAUUAUCUUUGCUAUCAAUUGGAUAAUAUUUAUAUUACAUAUUAACUGAAGUAAUCAGAAGGAAAUAAAACUGAAAAAAUACAGCCAGAUAGGAAAAAAUUAAUUUGAAAUAUGACAAUAUGUUUAAUAGUAUAAUUAAAAAGACUAACUCUUUUUUUUUAAAAAAACUAUGAUGUUCUUGUUAAAAUUAAAAUAAAGUUCACUUUUAUAUAUAUGGUAUGCAGAAUAAUAGCCGUCUUCCACAAAAGAUCCAUGCCUCUAUUCUCAGAAUUUGGGAUGAUGUUACGUUAAGUGGCAAAGGAAUUUUGCAGAUGUGAAUAAAUUAAGCAUUUUGAGGUGGGGAGGUUAUAUGCUGGAUGAUCUUGAUAGUUCCAAAGUUAUUACAAGAGUUCUUACAAGGGGAAGAGGAAGGCAGGAGAGUGAGAGGAGUGUGGAAGCAGAGGCUGGGGUGAUGCAACUGCUGAUAAGAAAACUAGAAAAGUCAAGGAACAGCUUCUCCCCUAGAGCCUCCAGAAGGAACCAACCCUACUAACACUUUGAUCAUAGUCCUAUAAGACUCAUUUUGGAAUUCUGAACUCCAGAGCUACAAGAGAAUAAAUUUGUGUUGUAUUAAGCCACUAAGUUUGUGGUAAUUUGUUAUAGCAGCAACAAAAAAAACUAGUAUAAUGCAAAAGGAGAGUGUAAUUUUAGUUCUAGGCUAUAAAUUCAUUGAAUAUUAAAAUAAUCUCAACAUUAAUUCUCGUAUGAAUCAUGAAUAUACUAACUUUAAACACUUAUUGAAAGCCAAUGCCUCUAAAUUAAGGAUUCAGCUAUGAGUUUUAGAUUUCUUAGAAUUAUAUAAAAUGUUCCAUUAAAAUUCUUUAUUUUUGGAAAAAUGUGCCAAUAUGGCUGGCUUAGAAGCAGCUAGUGUGCACCACUCUCGUGGAGAGGAAACAGAUCUUCAAGUGGAUUGUUCAGGAGGCCAUGUUGGGAUUCAUCAAGGAAGCAACAGAGACCCAUGGAGUGCAGACAGGAGCAAGGCAGGACAGCUGCCCACCCAAGAUUGAUGCAGAGCCAGAGAAGGCUCCCUACUGUGGGGAAAGGGGUCCCUACUCCUACUGCCCCCAAGCUGGGGAGGGAAAAAAAGGCUGAGCUACUCCCAAGGCUGUGGUGGUAGCCUGGAAUUGCCAAGCUGAGGUUUGUGAAUGGCACUUAAGCAGAAGAGGAGCUGCACUGUAAGAGCACUGGGAAAGCUGAGUCUCAGGAUUGUGUGGUCUGCCAUGGGAGUGGGGCAUGCCUUCCUCUCAGGGCUGGCCCAGAAAAUGCCUGUGCCUGAGGAAGUGCUGUGGGCCAAAUACUUGACAAAAUAAAUGAAGGUACAGUGGCAGUGAUUGGAGGGGGCUCCUCCAUUGUCCAGGAGCUGACUUGGUGAGGGGAUCACCUCUCUCCCCACUGCACUGCAGAGCAUGAAUGCAAAUGCCAGGAAAUAAAAAGGAGCCACAUGGCUGAGUAAAAGCUUAUCUACUGGCCAUGACUCUUAAGCAUCAUCUACUGGAUUGCAGCACAAGCUACAACAACAAAAAUACACUGUUAAUUCUCUCCCUAUGAAACCAAGGGCAAGAAUUCAGCCACCAAGGCCCUGCGCAGUGCCUGGACCAUCUGAAAACCUGCAGAAACAAAGCGAAUCGUCUAUCCUCAGCUUACACCUUACUUAAAGGAACACUAACCCUCCCAUAUGAGACAAAAUCAGCCCAAGAACUCUGGAAAUUCAAAAAGCCAAAGUGUCUUUAUACCACCAAAUGAGUCCACUAGCUCCCAAGUGAUGGCUCUUAACCAGUCAGAAAUGACUGAAAUGACAGACAUAGAAUUCCGCAUCUGAAUGAUGAGGAAGUUCAUUAAGAUUCAGGAGAAAGGUGAAACCCAAUCCAAGGAAUCCAGUAAAAUAAUCCAAGAGUUGAAAGACAAAAUAGCCAUUUUUAGAAGAAUCAAAGUGAACUUCUAGGGCUGAAAAGUUCACUACAAGAAUUUGAUAAUACAAUGGAAAGUACGAACAGCAGAAUAGGCCAAGCUGAGGAAAGAAUUUCAGAGCUUGAACACUAGUUGUUUGAAUCAACUGUCAGAAAGUAAUAAAAAAAAAAGAGAAUUAAGAAAAAUGAACAAAACCUUUGAGAAAUAUGGGACUAUAUAAACAGAUCAGAUCUAUGAUUCAUCAGCAUCCUUGAGAGAAAAGGAGAAAGAAUAAAUAACUCAGAAAAUAUAUUUGUGGAAAAGUCCAGAAAAAUUUCCCUAAUCUUUCUAGAAAUGUUAACAUGCAAAUUCAAGAAAUACAGAGAACCCCGGCUAGAUCCUAUGCAAGAUGACCAUACUCAAGGCACACAGUCAUCAGAUUCACUAAGGUCAACACAAAAGAGUAAAUCUUUUUGUUUUUGUUUAAUUUCCAACUUUUAAGUUUAGGAGUACAUGUGCAGGAUGUGCAGGUUUGUUACACAGGUAAACACGUACCAUGGUGGUUUGCUGCACGGGUCAUCCCAUCACCCAGAUAUUAAGCCCAGUAUCCAUUAACUAUUCAUCCUGAUCCUCUCCCUUCUCCCACCCCCUGCCCUCUCACAGGCCCCAGUGUGUGUGUUUUUCCCCCCAUGUGUCCAUGUGUUCUCGUCAUUUAGCUCCCACUUAUAAGUGAGAACAUAUAGUAUUUGGUUUUCUGUUCCUGCAUUAGUUUGCUAAGCCUAAUGGUCUCCAGCUCAAUUCAUGUCCCUGGAAAGGACCAACCUCGUUUCCUCUUAUGGCUACAUAGUAUUCCAUGGGGUAUAUGUACCACAUUUUAAAAGAAUAAAUCUUAAAAGCAGCUAGAGUCAAGUCACGUACAGAGGGAAUCCCAUCAUGCUAGCAGCAGAUCUCUCAGCAGAAAUAUUAAAAACCAGAGAGAUUCUGAGCCUAUUUUUAUCUUCCUUAAAUAAUUAGAAAUAAAAAAAUUUCCAACCAAGAAUUUUGUGUCUCACCAAACGAAACUUAAUAAGUGAAGGAGAAAUAAAAUUAUUCUCAGACAAGAAAACACUUGUGGAAUUUCUUUUAAGACCAGCCUUAUGAUAGAUAGGUCCUUAGGAAUUGCUAAACAUGGAAUUGAAAGAACAAUACCGGCUACCACAGAAACACAAUUAAGCACAUAUUCCACAAGCACUAUAAAGCAACCACACAAUCAAGUCUAUAUAAAAACCAGGUAACAACAUGACAGUAUCAAAAUCUCACGUUUCAAUACUAACCCUGAAUGACAUGGGUUAAAUGUCCCACUUUAAAGGAAUAGAGUGCUAAACUGGAUAAAAAGACAAAAGACCCAACCAUACGCUGUCUUCAAGAGACCUUCCCAUAUGUAACAAUAUCCACAGACAGGCUCAAAGUAAAGGGAAGGAGAAAGAUAUACCAUGAAAACAGAAAACAAAAGAGCAGGAGUAACUAUUAUAUCAGGUAAAACAGAUUUAAAACCAAUAAAAAUUAAGAAGGGCAAAGAAGGACAUUACAUAAUUACAAAAGGGCAGAAUUCAACAAAAAGACUUACACAUACAUGUACUCAACAUUGGAGUACCCAAAAUCAUAAAACAAGUUCUUCUUGGCCUAUGAAACAACUUAGACAACAACAUAAUAAUAGUGGGAGACUUCGACACGCGCUGACAGCAUUAGACGGAUCAUCAGGGCAGAAGACUAAAAAAGAAACUCCAGACUUAAACUCUACACUAGACCAAUUGGACCUAAUAGACAUCUGCAGAACACUCCACCCAACAAUCACAGAAUAUACAUUUUCCUCAUUUGCACAUGGAACAUAUUCUAAGAUCAACAACAUAUUCAGUCAUAAUGCAA